rnacentral:rRNA from 1 species
ACGGCGCGUGAGCGGCAAAAGCUCAAAUUUGAAAUCUGGUACCUUCGGUGCCCGAGUUGUAAUUUGGAGAGGGCAACUUUGGGGCCGUUCCUUGUCUAUGUUCCUUGGAACAGGACGUCAUAGAGGGUGAGAAUCCCGUGUGGCGAGGAGUGCGGUUCUUUGUAAAGUGCCUUCGAAGAGUCGAGUUGUUUGGGAAUGCAGCUCUAAGUGGGUGGUAAAUUCCAUCUAAAGCUAAAUAUUGGCGAGAGACCGAUAGCGAACAAGUACAGUGAUGGAAAGAUGAAAAGAACUUUGAAAAGAGAGUGAAAAAGUACGUGAAAUUGUUGAAAGGGAAGGGCAUUUGAUCAGACAUGGUGUUUUGUGCCCUCUGCUCCUUGUGGGUAGGGGAAUCUCGCAUUUCACUGGGCCAGCAUCAGUUUUGGUGGCAGGAUAAAUCCAUAGGAAUGUAGCUUGCCUCGGUAAGUAUUAUAGCCUGUGGGAAUACUGCCAGCUGGGACUGAGGACUGCGAC